rnacentral:rRNA from 1 species
UACGGGGGGGGCAAGCGUUGUUCGGAAUUACUGGGCGUAAAGGGCUCGCAGGCGGCCGACUAAGUCAGACGUGAAAUCCCUUGGCUUAACCAAGGAAUGGCGUCUGAUACUGGACGGCUUGAAUCCGGGAGAGGGAUGUGGAAUUCCAGGUGUAGCGGUGAAAUGCGUAGAUAUCUGGGGGAACACCGGUGGCGAAGGCGGCAUCCUGGACCGGUAUUGACGCUGAGGAGCGAAAGCCAGGGGAGCAAACGGG